AUGAAUCUCCUAUGCACGGCUUCUUUGGGAACAAACCCUGGAUGUCAUGAGAAGAUAUCGCUGUGUCAUCCGCUUCAUUCAUUCACACCUAGCACCGGGAUUCUUCCUUUCCUCCAAAGGGGACCUGCUGGAUCAGGACAUUUACCUGAGAAGCUGCCAUUUCCUCCUCUUCUUCCUCCUGCCCUGGGUCGUUUUCUCAUCAAGGUUAUGGAGGAAUCACCUCAGCGUCAUGAGAUUACACCUUCAGAGGUGCCAGCACUGACUUGCCCCUUUAAAGCCCAUGCAGAGCAGAACUUGUUGCCUCUGCUUGGACUGAAGCCAGGCCUCAGCUCUCACAAAUGGACCAGGAGCCUCGUCCUUAAUCGGGGCCUCCCUGUAGAAUCCCCUGGAGCACUUCCUACACACCACACUGAGGCUCCCACAGGACCAACACAGAACUCUGUGGGGUGGGCACUGGGGAGGUCACUGCCUGACACUGGUCACAUGAUCCUGAUGAGAAACAGAUGGAAACCACUUGGCUAAAGAUUGUUUUGGCUUCCCUGAUGGCUCAGCUGGUAAAGAAUCUGCCUGCAAUGUGGGAGACCUGGUUCGAUCCCUGGCUUGGGAAGAUUCCCUGGAGAAGGGAAUGGCUGCCCACUCCAGUAUUCUGGCCUGGAGAAUUCCAUGGACUGUAUAGUCCCUGGGGUCGCAAAGAGUUGAACACAAGUGAGCAACUUUCACUUCACUUUAAAGAUUGUUUCUGGACCAUUUCAGUAUAUACAAUCCCAUGAGGUCAGAGCCCCACUUGAAGAGGUUAUGAAUCUGCAGGUCUGAGGUGGAGCCAUGAAAUGAGUCUUCAACAAGCUCCCUGUUUGUUCUGAUGCCUCUUCCCAAAGACCCACACUCAGGAGCCCUGAGCUUCAGCUGUCACACUCAGCACAGCUGAGACCUCUCAGGAGGGGAGGGUUUAGGGCAGGAAUUUCCCUGGAACAAGUUAUCAGCUCACACCCCUCAGAAUGGCCAUCUUUGAAAAGACUUUUGGACUUCAUCUCCAAAACAUGUAAACUGCUCAUGCAGCUCAAAAAAACAAAAAACAAAAAAACCAACAAAAGACCCAAUAGAAAAACAGGCCAAAGAUCUAAAUACACACAGCUCCAAAGAAGGCAUACAAAAGGCCACUAAGCACAUUAAAAGAUACUCAGCAUCAAUAAUUAUUAGAGAAAUGAAAUAAAAACUACAACGAGGUAUUAUCUGACACCCCACAGAAUGGCCAUCUUUCAAAAGAGCCUCAAAAAUUAAACGCUACCGAGGGCAUGGGGAAUAGGAAAUCCUCCAACACUAUGGGCGGGGAUGGAAAUGGGUGGGUACAGCCACAAAGGAAAACAGUAUAGACGUUCCUUAAAACACUAAAUAUGGAGUUUCCACAUAAUUUUUAACUCCUUGCCUUAAAUUCUGAGAAAAUCAUCAUUUAAAGUGAUAUAUACACCUCUUUUUUCAGGGCAGCGCUAUUGACAAUAUCCAAGACAGAGCAUCAACCAACUGUCCAUCGAUAGAGAAAUGAAAGUCCACCUAGACACUGGAAUACACACAGCCAGCAAAACGAACAUAAAAAAAAUGCCAUUGUCAGCAGCAUGGAUGGCCUACUCAGUGAAGUCAGUCAGAGAGGGAAAGAGAAAUAUCAUUUCACUUACAGGUGGGACCAUGCUGCUGCUGCUGCUAAGUCGCUUCAGUCGUGUCCGACUCUGUGCGACCCCAGAGAUGGCAGCCCACCAGGCUCCCCUGUCCCUGGGAUUCUCCAGGCAAGAACACUGGAGUGGGUUGCCAUUUCCUUCUCCAAUGCAUGAAAGUGAAAAGUGAAAGUGAAGUCGCUCAGUCAUGUCCGACUCUUAGCGACCCCAUGGACCGCAGCCUGCCAGACUCCUCCAUCCAUGGGAUUUUUCAGGCAAGUGUACUGGAGUGGGGUGCCAUUGUUUUCUCCGACCAUAAACUAAUUCAAAUGAAUUAAUUUAUAAACAGACUCACAGAUUAGAAAACCAAUUAAUGAUUGUUAAAAAAAAAAAAGGGUAGGGAAGGAGACAUUAAGAGUUUGGGAUUAACAUAUACACACUACUUA
rnacentral:lncRNA from 1 species